UUUUUAUUCUCAGUCUUUAAUUUUUCAACAGUGAAAGCACGGUGUAAAGAACUGUGAAAAAGUCGCAAUGCUCUUUGCUCGUACUACUCAGUGAUCUCAGAUUAAGAAUUAGUUUCCUGUGAUCGGAACAUUCCCCAAAUAUUUUCUUUUGAAUGUUGACACUUUGCGUUUCUUUAGUGUGUCAAAUGUCAAAUGUCAAGCAAAAUAGCUCACUAAUAGCAGGCUGAGUCGGUGCAUUGGUGUUUUCCCAAAAUAACAAAAUUUAUACGAUACAAUUUGAUUUUGUUGCGUUAAAACGUUCGUACAAAUAAAAAUAAUGCUACAUAAGUGUUAUGUUGGUGGUUGUAAAUCAACAAAGCGAAACACACCGUGUGUUUUGUUUUCCUAAAAAUGAUUACCUCAGAAAUUUGUGGGUAUCCUUUAUAGCUCCUACAAAGCCUCACAUUAUUGCACUAUCAAAAGAACAACUGCUCAGAAAACGUGUUUGUGAAAAACAUUUCGACAAAUAUCAGCUGGAUGAAGAGGGCAAAAGAUUACGCUAUUCUUAUCCUUGUUUGUUCACGGAUGAAGAAAUAGCACUCGGUGAACCUUUUUUUGCUCCUGAAGCCGGGCAUGAUAUUCUAAGAGACCACAAUUACUGCAAAGAGCAGAAUGACGAUGAAGAUUUAACAGAUACUGCUAUGGUUGUUGGAAGAGCAGGUUAAGAUUUUAGUGAACACCCAACAUGUCCUAUGCGUUAAUUGGAUGUUAAAGAUGGAGUAGAAAAUAACCAUGACCAAUUAGAAUCUGAAUUAGUAAAACAAUCUGAACUGGUUGUGGAAAUGACAGUAACUAAAAGUACAACAACAUCAAAAGACCAAUUUGUAUAUUAGUCUUUGAUGAAUUACCAUGCAUUAGUUUCUAUAGGAAUCUUUGACUCCUGGCUCCAAAAUAUCUGUUUCUAUUUCUACAAAGUUACACCCUGCAGAGCUUCACUACAAAAUAGUUUAAAACAUGGUGCCUCCAAAGUGGUGUAAACCAGACUUAUAGGUUUGGGUCUUGUUCAUGAUCAAUGUUUAACAUUUAGAACAGUAAUAAAACAUUUCAUAACAGAUAUUAUAAAGCAAAAUAUUAAGGGCUUGCAGGAUGAUGGCACCAUUAAUAUCACUGGAUGCACUUCAGUAUAUUUUUCAACUCCCCCCCCUUGGUUAAAGGGUUGAUAAAUAGGUUUCUAUUUAAAGAUGUAUAAUAUAAAUAUAAUAAGGCAAGGAAAGACAUUAUAUUUCUCUAUAUAGAAAGAAAUUUAAUUUGUGAAUCUCUUGGACAGCUAGUUGGAAAAUCCAGCUUCAUUGCCACCUCGCCAAAAUGAAAAACUCGUUGUAUAAAUCCCGAAAAAAAAUUAAAAAGAUAGUCUUUCUACAGAAGAUCAGCAUGAACUACAGCAAUAUUGAGACUUUGGGAUUGAAAUGUAAUGAUAUGCUUUGUUAUUAAUAAAGUGAUUUUGUAGACUAGACCUGGAAUCGAUGCUAGUUCAUGAAAAGAGGCAACUGCCAAAUUAAAUUUUGACAACCUUUUCGUGUAUCAAUUGCUACUAAGCAGAAGCAACCAAAGGAAAAUCAAUGAAAGCUGUUAAGGACAUUUUUGUUGUACCUUUGCAGGCUUUUAACCUUUAAAAUUAAGUAAAAAGCUUUAAAUAAAUGUUUACACUGUC